rnacentral:misc_RNA from 1 species
AAAACUGAGAUAGUAACAUGAAUUCAAUCAUUGAAACUCAACGAGGAAAACUAUGAUGACAAAAUAAUUACGUAACUAUGACACUAAAAAAUCAUUUUUCACAUGUAAAUAAUCAACUAAAGAGUAGCAACUCGUAUAUACUUACCAUCCUUGUGUCAUGGUUUACUAGGUUCGUCAUCUUCAUCAUCUAUGUCCCAACUCAAGUCCUCUUCCUCUGCAGCACUCAACCGCUUGCGCAAAUCUAAUCUACUAGUACUUGUCGAGCUACCCAAUUUUUCCCCUUUGCUUUCAUCAAUAUCUUCAAUUUCAUCCCAUCCAAGGUCCUCCUCUGGCAACAAUGACUGGCUUGAAAUCACUGAUACAUCGCUAUCUUUACACGACUUGCCGUUUUCGCCCUUGACAUCCACUGCUGCUGCCUUCUCCUCAAUUUUCUCCAGCUUAUCAUUGCCUUUCUCCAUUUCGUCUUUGAGAUUUUUAUUAUGACCCUUAGAGCUUUCACUGUAAUCACCCUUCUCUGGCUUUAAACUUCCACUAGACUGACCUUCUACCAAAGACACAUUGCUCUUAUCGUCCCCCUCGUUGUCUUCACCAUCAAAGUCCCAGGUCAAGUCCUCUUCCUCGCCAGAAAUUGCUUUCUUAACAAGCAAGGCUCUGGUUUCCUCUGCUUGCUUCAACUUGUGCACCCUAUAGAAAUACCUACUCCAAAAACCUUCAUUAUCUACUCUAUCAGGCACUACCUCAUUAUAAAUUUCCUUAACAAACCCAUUUUCACUAACUAAUUUCUCAAUCUCCUCUUUUUUCUCUUCCAGUGAAAAAGACCCUAAUCUCCAUCUAUCAAACUCAACCUUAUCCUCUGGUUCAGUACAGUAAGUAUUUAAGUCACACUGUAUUGCACGCACUUGCAUAUCAAAACGGCUAUACCGUUUCACGCUCAAAGACUGUUGCUUACUAUGACUAUGAUGUUUAUCAGAGGAAUCUGAAUCUUCAUGAUCUGGAGCUAGAAUAGAGUCCCUACCAUGAGAGAUUAUUUGAGCAGUGGAUCUCCAAACGGUGGCUCCGAUAUCGUCGAUGGCUUGUCCGACGGUCUCCAGCGAUUCCUGGGCGACCGAAGCACCGACCUCGAAAGAAGCCGGAAGGUCCUUGACAGCACGCGAGGCUACUUCCCGGAUAACCGCCGUCUCCUUUCUGAGGCCAGAUCCGAAUUCCUCGAAAUCCUUGCGGUAGGAUUCGAUGACGGACUCUGAUGUGGUGGUCAGGGUCUUGAAGAGCCCGCCGAAGGACCAUGUGGGGUUGGCAGUAGGGCUGGGGUUGGGAUUUGAGCUCUGGGAUUGUGAGAGGGUGGUUGGAGUACCGGGCUGGGAUGUGGGUGAAUCUGGGGGAGUUGGUUCGUCUGAGAAGACGGAUUUGAAGAAAUUCAUUGGAGUAAGGAAAGGGAACUAGAAAUUGGGGGAAAUUAGUGUGAUUUCGAUAUAAUUAGGGAUUGGGAUAUAUAUACAGAGAGAGAGAGAAGGCAGCGAGUCAUGGGAAGGAU